AACGCGAAGAACCUUACCUGGGCUCGAAAUGCAGAGGGCGACUACAGAGAUGUAGUUUUCCGAAAGGACUUCUGUAUAGGUGCUGCAUGGCUGUCGUCAGCUCGUGCCGUGAGGUGUUUGGUUAAGUCCAGCAACGAGCGCAACCCUUGUCAUUAGUUACCAUCAUUAAGUUGGGUACUCUAGUGAGACUGCCUAGGUUAACUAGGAGGAAGGUGAGGAUGACGUCAAGUCCGCAUGGCCUUUAUGUCCAGGGCUACACACGUGCUACAAUGGCCGGUACAGAGGGUGCCGAAUUCGUAAGAUAGAGGAAAUCCCAGAAAGCCGGUCCCAGUUCAGAUUGUGGUCUGCAACUCGACCACAUGAAGUUGGAAUUGCUAGUAAUGGCGAGUCAGCAACAUCGCCGUGAAUACGUUCCCGGGCCUUGUACACACCGACUGUAC
rnacentral:rRNA from 1 species